UGCCAGCCGCCGCGGUAACACGGGGGGCGCAAGCGUUAUUCGGAAUUAUUGGGCGUGAAGGGCGCGCAGGCGGUCUUGUCCGUCAGGUGUGAAAGCCCUGGGCUCAACCUGGGAAUUGCAUUCGAUACUGCUUAGCUAGAGUAUGAGAGAGGGUAGUGGAAUUCCGGGUGUAGCGGUGAAAUGCGUAGAUAUCCGGAGGAACAUCAGUGGCGAAGGCGGCUGCCUGGACUAACACUGACUCUGAGGUACGAAAGCGUGGGGAGCAAACAGGAUUAGAUA
rnacentral:rRNA from 1 species